rnacentral:rRNA from 1 species
GACGAACGCUGGCGGCGUGCUUAACACAUGCAAGUCGAGCGGUAAGGCCCUUUCGGGGGUACACGAGCGGCGAACGGGUGGGUAACACGUGGGUGACCUGCCCUCAGCUCUGGGAUAAGCCCGGGAAACUGGGUCUAAUACUGGAUAUGACUCCAUGACGCAUGUUGUGGGGUGGAAAGCCUUGUGCGGCUGAGGAUGGGCCCGCGGCCUAUCAGCUUGUUGGUGGGGUGAUGGCCUACCAAGGCGACGACGGGUAGCCGGCCUGAGAGGGCGACCGGCCACACUGGGACUGAGACACGGCCCAGACUCCUACGGGAGGCAGCAGUGGGGAAUCUUGCGCAAUGGGCGAAAGCCUGACGCAGCGACGCCGCGUGAGGGAUGACGGCCUCGGUUG